GGGGGUGUAGUUUAAUGGUAGAACACUUGUGUAGCAUGCCCAAAACGUGGGUUCAAUCCCUGCCACUUCAA
rnacentral:tRNA from 1 species